rnacentral:lncRNA from 1 species
AAAAUAUAGGAUCACAUUAUUUAUUAGUUCAACAUGAUCAUUAGAGAUGAGACUUCAACAAACUAUACAAUUGAUGGAUUGUCAUAUCAACAACAUUUGCUAUAAAACAAAAUUGACUGUAUAAUGAUAUUUUCUUAUUCUUUCAAUGAGGUUUAGAACUUCUGUAUUUCCAUUAUUCACAGUACAGUUGUCAACAUAAAAUAAA